UAGGGAAUCUUCGGCAAUGGACGAAAGUCUGACCGAGCAACGCCGCGUGAGUGAAGAAGGUUUUCGGAUCGUAAAACUCUGUUGUUAGAGAAGAACAAGGACGUUAGUAACUGAACGUCCCCUGACGGUAUCUAACCAGAAAGCCACGGCUAACUACGUGCCAGCAGCCGCGUUAAUACGCAGGUGGCAAGCGUUGCCCGGAUUUAUUGGGCGUAAAGCGAGCGCAGGCGGUUUCUUAAGUCUGAUGUGAAAGCCCCCGGCUCAACCGGGGAGGGUCAUUGGAAACUGGGAGACGUGAGUGCAGAAGAGGGGAGUGGAAUUCCAUGUGUAGCGGUGAAAUGCGUAGAUAUAUGGAGGAACACCAGUGGCGAAGGCGGCUCUCUGGUCUGUAACUGACACUGAGGCUCGAAAGCGUGGGGAGCAAACAGG
rnacentral:rRNA from 1 species